rnacentral:rRNA from 1 species
AUUGAACGCUGGCGGAAUGCCUUACACAUGCAAGUCGAACGGCAGCACGGGAGCUUGCUCCUGGUGGCGAGUGGCGAACGGGUGAGUAAUGCAUCGGAACGUACCCAGGAGUGGGGGAUAACUAUCCGAAAGGAUGGCUAAUACCGCAUAUUCUGUGAGCAGGAAAGCGGGGGAUCGAAGGACGUCGCGCACUUGGAGCGGCCGAUGUCUGAUUAGCUAGUUGGUGAGGUAAAGGCUCACCAAGGCGACGAUCCGUAGCAGGUCUGAGAGGGUGAUCUGCCACACUGGGACUGAGACCCGGCCCAGACUCCUACGGGAGGCAGCAGUGGGGAAUUUUGGACAAUGGGGGCAACCCUGAUCCAGCCAUGCCGCGUGAGUGAAGAAGGCCUUCGGGUUGUAAAGCUCUUUCGGCGGGGAAGAAAUGGCAACGGCUAAUAUCCGUUGUUGAUGACGGUACCCGCAUAAGAAGCACCGGCUAACUACGUGCCAGCCGCCGCAGUAACAC